CGACCGGCGCACGGGUGAGUAACACGUAUCCAACCUGCCGUCUACUCUUGGACAGCCUUCUGAAAGGAAGAUUAAUACAAGAUGGCAUCAUGAGUCCGCAUGUUCACAUGAUUAAAGGUAUUCCGGUAGACGAUGGGGAUGCGUUCCAUUAGAUAGUAGGCGGGGUAACGGCCCACCUAGUCUUCGAUGGAUAGGGGUUCUGAGAGGAAGGUCCCCCACAUUGGAACUGAGACACGGUCCAAACUCCUAGGGAGGCAGCAUG
rnacentral:rRNA from 1 species